rnacentral:rRNA from 1 species
GAUGAACGCUGGCGGCGUGCCUAAUACAUGCAAGUCGAGCGAAUGGAUUAAGAGCUUGCUCUUAUGAAGUUAGCGGCGGACGGGUGAGUAACACGUGGGUAACCUGCCCAUAAGACUGGGAUAACUCCGGGAAACCGGGGCUAAUACCGGAUAACAUUUUGAACCGCAUGGGGCGAAAUUGAAAGGCGGCUUCGGCUGUCACUUAUGGAUGGACCCGCGUCGCAUUAGCUAGUUGGGGAGGUAACGGCUCACCAAGGCAACGAUGCGUAGCCGACCUGAGAGGGUGAUCGGCCACACUGGGACUGAGACACGGCCCAGACUCCUACGGGAGGCAGCAGUAGGGAAUCUUCCGCAAUGGACGAAAGUCUGACGGAGCAACGCCGCGUGAGUGAUGAAGGCUUUCGGGUCGUAAAACUCUGUUGUUAGGGAAGAACAAGUGCUAGUUGAAUAAGCUGGCACCUUGACGGUACCUAACCAGAAAGCCACGGCUAACUACGUGCCAGCCGCCGCAGUAA